AUCGACGAGGAAGUGACGGCCAACACAGGCAUCCUGGAUGACACCGAAGACAUGGAUGAGCUGCUCGCGUGGAUCAACAACGAAGAGAGACCCAGCACCAGCAGUCUUGCUGACGAUCUGCA